rnacentral:rRNA from 1 species
AAAUUCCAAUCGAACCUGGAGAUAGCUGGUUCUCUCCGAAAUAGCUUUAGGGCUAGCCUCAAGUGAUGAUUAUUGGAGGUAGAGCACUGUUUGGACGAGGGGCCCCUCUCGGGUUACCGAAUUCAGACAAACUCCGAAUGCCAAUUAAUUUAACUUGGGAGUCAGAACAUGGGUGAUAAGGUCCGUGUUCGAAAGGGAAACAGCCCAGACCACCAGCUAAGGUCCCAAAAUAUAUGUUAAGUGGAAAAGGAUGUGGCGUUGCCCAGACAACUAGGAUGUUGGCUUAGAAGCAGCCAUCAUUUAAAGAGUGCGUAAUAGCUCACUAGUCGAGUGACACUGCGCCGAAAAUGUACCGGGGCUAAACAUAUUACCGAAGCUGUGGAUUGUCCUUUGGACAAUGGUAGGAGAGCGUUCUAAGGGCGUUGAAGCAUGAUCGUAAGGACAUGUGGAGCGCUUAGAAGUGAGAAUGCCGGUGUGAGUAGCGAAAGACGGGUGAGAAUCCCGUCCACCGAUUGACUAAGGUUUCCAGAGGAAGGCUCGUCCGCUCUGGGUUAGUCGGGUCCUAAGCUGAGGCCGACAGGCGUAGGCGAUGGAUAACAGGUUGAUAUUCCUGUACCACCUAUAAUCGUUUUAAUCGAUGGGGGGACGCAGUAGGAUAGGCGAAGCGUGCGAUUGGAUUGCACGUCUAAGCAGUAAGGCUGAGUAUUAGGCA